GCGGUCCUGGCGGCGUCUACCAUGCAGUCGAGCGGUAGCACAGAGAAGCUUGCUUCUUGGGUGACGAGCGGCGGACGGGUGAGUAAUGCAUAGGAAUCUGCCCGAUAGUGGGGGAUAACCUGGGGAAACCCAGGCUAAUACCGCAUACGUCCUACGGGAGAAAGGGGGCUCCGGCUCCCGCUAUGGGAUGAGCCUAUGUCGGAUUAGCUAGUUGGUGAGGUAACGGCUCACCAAGGCAACGAUCCGUAGCUGGUCUGAGAGGAUGAUCAGCCACAUCGGGACUGAGACACGGCCCGAACUCCUACGGGAGGCAGCAGUGGGGAAUAUUGGACAAUGGGCGCAAGCCUGAUCCAGCCAUGCCGCGUGUGUGAAGAAGGCCCUCGGGUUGUAAAGCACUUUCAGCGAGGAAGAACGCCUAGCGGUUAAUACCCGCUAGGAAAGACAUCACUCGCAGAAGAAGCACCGGCUAACUCCGUGCCAGCAGCCGCGGUAAUACGGAGGGUGCAAGCGUUAAUCGGAAUUACUGGGCGUAAAGCGCGCGUAGGUGGCUUGAUAAGCCGGUUGUGAAAGCCCCGGGCUCAACCUGGGAACGGCAUCCGGAACUGUCAAGCUAGAGUGCAGGAGAGGAAGGUAGAAUUCCCGGUGUAGCGGUGAAAUGCGUAGAGAUCGGGAGGAAUACCAGUGGCGAAGGCGGCCUUCUGGACUGACACUGACACUGAGGUGCGAAAGCGUGGGUAGCAAACAGGAUUAGAUACCCUGGUAGUCCACGCCGUAAACGAUGUCGACCAGCCGUUGGGUGCCUAGCGCACUUUGUGGCGAAGUUAACGCGAUAAGUCGACCGCCUGGGGAGUACGGCCGCAAGGUUAAAACUCAAAUGAAUUGACGGGGGCCCGCACAAGCGGUGGAGCAUGUGGUUUAAUUCGAUGCAACGCGAAGAACCUUACCUACUCUUGACAUCCUGCGAAUUCGGUAGAGAUACCUUAGUGCCUUCGGGAACGCAGAGACAGUGCUGCAUGCUGUCGUCAGCUCGUGUUGUGAAAUGUUGGUUAAGUCCCGUAACGAGCGCACCCUUGUCUUAUUUGCAGCACGUAAUGUGGACUUCUAGAGACUGCGUGACAACCGAGACGUGGGACGACGUCAGUCAUCAUGCUUACGAUUUAGCUACCCACGUGCCUACAAAUGGCCGGU
rnacentral:rRNA from 1 species